rnacentral:rRNA from 1 species
CCGCGGUUCACAGUCGGUUUGUGGAGUGGUUUCUUUCCGUCUGCCGCCCGCUACGCUCUGCGCUUUUCUUUCUGCCUCAUCUUGCUAAGUUUUAUCGUCAAUAUCCUGAGCCAUGAUCAAACUCUAACGAAAGGGAUGCUAAUACCGCAUACGUCCUACGGGAGAAAGCAGGGGAUCUUCAAACCUUGCGCUAAUAGAUGAGCCUAAGUCGGAUUAGCUAGUUGGUGGGGUAAAGGCCUACCAAGGCGACAAUCUGUAGCGGGUCUGAGAGGAUGAUCCGCCACACUGGGACUGAGACACGGCCCAGACUCCUACGGGAGGCAGCAGUGGGGAAUAUUGGACAAUGGGGGGAACCCUGAUCCAGCCAUGCCGC